UAGGGAAUCUUCCACAAUGGGCGAAAGCCUGAUGGAGCAACGCCGCGUGUGAUGAAGGCUUUCGGGUCGUAAAGCACUGUUGUAUGGGAAGAACAGCUAGAAUAGGAAAUGAUUUUAGUUUGACGGUACCAUACCAGAAAGGGACGGCUAAAUACGUGUCAG
rnacentral:rRNA from 1 species